UACGUAGGGACCAAGCGUUGUUCGGAUUUACUGGGCGUAAAGGGCGCGUAGGCGGCAUGACAAGUCACUUGUGAAAUCUCCGGGCUUAACCCAGAACGGCCAAGUGAUACUGUCGCGAUAGAGUGCGGAAGGGGCAAUCGGAAUUCUCGGUGUAGCGGUGAAAUGCGUAGAUAUCGAGAGGAACACCUGAGGUGAAGACGGGUUGCUGGGCCGACACUGACGCUGAGUGCGCGAAAGCCAGGGGAGCAAACGGG
rnacentral:rRNA from 1 species